UGGCGGCAUGCCUUACACAUGCAAGUCGAACGGCAGCACGGGAGCAAUCCUGGUGGCGAGUGGCGAACGGGUGAGUAAUAUAUCGGAACGUGCCCAGUCGUGGGGGAUAACGCAGCGAAAGCUGUGCUAAUACCGCAUACGAUCUCUGGAUGAAAGCGGGGGACUCGCAAGAGCCUCGCGCGAUUGGAGCGGCCGAUAUCAGAUUAGCUAGUUGGCGGGGUAAAGGCCCACCAAGGCGACGAUCUGUAGCUGGUCUGAGAGGACGACCAGCCACACUGGAACUGAGACACGGUCCAGACUCCUACGGGAGGCAGCAGUGGGGAAUUUUGGACAAUGGGCGAAAGCCUGAUCCAGCAAUGCCGCGUGCAGGAUGAAGGCCUUCGGGUUGUAAACUGCUUUUGUACGGAACGAAACGGUCUCUCUUAAUACGGGGGGCUAAUGACGGUACCGUAAGAAUAAGCACCGGCUAACUACGUGCCAGCAGCCGCGGUAAUACGUAGGGUGCGAGCGUUAAUCGGAAUUACUGGGCGUAAAGCGUGCGCAGGCGGUUAUAUAAGACAGAUGUGAAAUCCCCGGGCUCAACCUGGGACCUGCAUUUGUGACUGUAUAGCUAGAGUACGGUAGAGGGGGAUGGAAUUCCGCGUGUAGCAGUGAAAUGCGUAGAUAUGCGGAGGAACACCGAUGGCGAAGGCAAUCCCCUGGACCUGUACUGACGCUCAUGCACGAAAGCG
rnacentral:rRNA from 1 species